rnacentral:lncRNA from 1 species
UGUGUAUUUACAAUAAUGAGAUAAGUAAAUUUAGCAUACGAGAAUUCAAUUCAUCCAAGAAUACCGUUAUUUUUAAUAAAAUUAUUGUAACUGAGAGAAUGCAUUAAAAUAGCAGUGGUUGUAUUGGUUUUAAAGUUAGUUUAUAAGAUUUAAAGAAAUUUUCGUAAUUUUUACAGGAAAAGUAAGCAUAACUUCAAUUAUAAUAUAUACUUUAUUUAUCUGUGUAUGCUCAAUGGUAAAAGCUUUUUCUAAACCUUUCAAAGUGGGUCGAGGACGUCAUUGUACACCAAUAGAACGCAACAUUAUUUUGAAACAUCAUAGAGAGGGUAAAUCUUAUUCAUAUAUACAAAAUGUUAUCAGAUGUUCAGCAAAGAUGAUUUCAAAUGCCUUAAAUUAUAAAGCAAAAGUUGAAAAACGAGGUGGAAAACGUUAGACUACCGCACAAGAAGACCGAAGAAUUGUAAGGUAUGUUAAAAGUAAACUAUUUUUAUCGGCCAAGCAAGUCAAAUAUGAUCUUGAUUUACAUGUGAGUGACACAACUGUUCGUAGGCGCUUAAAAGAGAACAGUUUAUAUGCACACAGUCCACGAAAGGUUUCUUUGUUGACAAAAAAACAUACCGCUAAACGUUUGCAGUUCGCAAAGCAACAUCUGAAUUGGCCCAUAAAAAAGUGACGCAACAUAUUAUGGACCGAUGAAUCGAAAAUUGUUCUUUAUGGAGGUACAAGUUCAAGGCUUCUCAUAUAAUGGUGUCGGCCCUAUUUAUAAGAUUAAUGGUAUCAUGGACCAACAUAUAUAUGUCAACAUACUCAAUAAUAUCAUGCUACUCUAUGCUGUUGAAGACAUGCCGCUAAAAUGGGUCUUCCAACAAGAUAACGACCCAAAACACACUAGUCAUAAGGCAAAGGAGUGGUUUCAGGUCAAUGGGGUUGAGGUUAUGAAGUGGCCUUCUCAGUCACCCGACCUAAACCCGAUGGAAAACUUAUGGAGAGACGUUAAAAAAGCAGUUUCUGCUGCUAAUCCAACUAAUGCUCAGCAGUUAUGGAUAGCUAUUCAACAAGCAUGGUACGCAAUACCCGAAGAAAAAUGUCAACGCCUUGUUGACUCAAUGUAUCGGCGUUGCGAAGCCGUUAUUCAAAACAAAGGUUUUGCAACAAAAUACUAAAGAUACGACUGCUAUUUCAAUGACUGCAACCUUUUUUUAAUAUUAUUGGUCUUCUAUAAAUCAUUUCAUAUAAAUACCCGCUAAAACAAGAAACCAUGGAAUCAACAUGAUCAUAAUUUUGAACGAAUGUUGAUUUUACACGUAGUAAAUUUUUACAAAAAAUAGCAUGAGCCUUAGCGCUAAAUUUUCUUAUAAAAAUCCUCCACGAUUUGGGAGGCAACACCUAAAUGGAGACCAGCAAAGUUGUUCAAUGGUCAGAAAAGCCCAGUUGGCUGAGCUUUUUUGCAAUGUUAUUCAGUUUGGGUACAUUAGUUGCAAUGAUAUGGAGAGUGUUACACCACGUGUAGAAAACUGUACAAGUUAACUUAGCGAAUUAGUAACAAAAAAAUCGGUAUAAUACUUUUGGAGAUCAUUAAUGUCCCUACACAGAAUAAGUCUCUCAAAUUUACCAAGAUUUUGAUCAGUAAAAGCUUUUAACAGUUUUAAAGUUUUUAGAUGGAUAGAGUUAAUGUCCCAAUAUAGAUGAUAAACAACAAUGAUAAGCGCGUUUAGGGCUGGAAAUCUGACUGCAAGAAUAUCUGUUGUCAAUAAAUUAGGAACUUUCAUUUCCAAUUGACAGAAUUUAAAAAUAGAACAGAAAUAGAUUGCCCGUCCACCACCGUGUUUAUUUUCUUUUUCAACUGAGAAUAGUCACUCAAGCCGAACCAUCAAGAAUAGUCAAAUCAAGCCGGGUUUCUAAUAAAUUACUAAUAUGUCGAAUUUAUUAUUGUUGUUUUUUAAUAUGAACUCGUUGAUUUUAUUCAGCAAUGACGGGCAUUAGUAGCUAAAAUUGACGGCAUUCUGAUAGUUAUCCGAUGAUUUUUUGAGACUAUUUGUUGUUUAGGCACUUGACAUAGGUGUUGAGUUUUUUCAUUGAGGAGGCAGGAGCAUUGGUUUCAGUAUAUAGGUUUUUGGCCGCAGAACGUGUAAUUCUUUCUGGACAAGAGAGACUGAGUGUUACAGAAAACAGUUUUUUUGACACCCAUGUUUUUAUUGUAAAUAAUUUUUUGUUGUUGUAGCGGAUUAUAGGAUAGCGAGUACUAUG